UAUAGGGGGGGCAAGCGUUGUUCGGAAUUACUGGGCGUAAAGGGUUCGUAGGUGGCCACUUAAGUCAGACGUGAAAUCCCUCAGCUUAACUGGGGAACUGCGUCUGAUACUGGAUGGCUAGAGGUUGGGAGAGGGAUGCGGAAUUCCAGGUGUAGCGGUGAAAUGCGUAGAUAUCAGGAGGAAUACCGGUGGCGAAAGCGACUCUCUGGACGGCAACUGACGCUGAGGCACGAAGGCGUGGGGAGCAAACAGG
rnacentral:rRNA from 1 species